GAUGAACGCUAGCUAUAGGCUUAACACAUGCAAGUCGAGGGGAAACGGCAUUAUGUGCUUGCACAUUUUGGACGUCGACCGGCGCACGGGUGAGUAACGCGUAUCCAACCUGCCCUUUACUUGGGGAUACCCCGUUGAAAGACGGCCUAAUACCCGAUGUAAUUCAUUGAUGGCAUCAGAUAUGAAUAAAAGAUUUAUCGGUAAAGGAUGGGGAUGCGUCUGAUUAGCUUGUUGGUGAGGUAAAGGCUCACCAAGGCGACGAUCAGUAGGGGUUCUGAGAGGAAGGUCCCCCACAUUGGAACUGAGACACGGUCCAAACUCCUACGGGAGGCAGCAGUGAGGAAUAUUGGUCAAUGGGCGCAAGCCUGAACCAGCCAAGUAGCGUGCAGGAAGACGGCCCUAUGGGUUGUAAACUGCUUUUAUACGAGAAUAAUUUGAUGCACGUGUGCGCUAUUGCAUGUAUCGUAUGAAUAAGGACCGGCUAAUUCCGUGCCAGCAGCCGCGGUAAUACGGAAGGUCCAGGCGUUAUCCGGAUUUAUUGGGUUUAAAGGGAGUGUAGGCGGUUUGUUAAGCGUGUUGUGAAAUUUAGGUGCUCAACAUUUAACUUGCAGCGCGAACUGUCAGACUUGAGUACACGCAACGUAUGCGGAAUUCAUGGUGUAGCGGUGAAAUGCUUAGAUAUCAUGAAGAACUCCGAUUGCGAAGGCAGCAUACGGGAGUGUAACUGACGCUUAAGCUCGAAGGUGCGGGUAUCGAACAGG
rnacentral:rRNA from 1 species